GUAAGGCAUUGCCCUUUCUGAUAGUUCUGACGUUCAGUUGGAAAUCUCUGUUGGGAUCAGAAGAAAUCUCAACUGGGAAGAGAAGGGGACGCUAUGAUGGAAGACGUUGGACAGAAUCCACUGGAUGAUGUGUAAGUAUGGGAAUAAUAAAAGAGUUCAGUAGAGGAAGCUCCACGGGAAGAGUCUCCAGCAAUCCAGUAGCAGACGAUAUAAUUACCAGCAUUAGAAGCUGUAAAACAGAACCUUGACUGCCUGAAUUCAGACCUUGAAAAGGACCUGCAGAAACUGGAUAUGGAGAAUCAGGUUCUCCUUAGAAAGAUUAAAGAGAAAGAAGAAACUAUUUCAAGCCUGGAAAGAAAGCUGGCCUUGUCACUAGAAGAAGCCAAAGAGGAGGAGGAGUUGAACUAUGUCAUAGAUGAACAGGAGGAAUCCCUGAGGGAGCUGGAAUUAGAGACAGCAAAGCUGGAGAAAAGUAACGCAAUCCUAAGCAGGAAUGUGGUGGAGGUUCAGAAAAAGAUUUCAGGGUUAUUUACAAAUAUUGGCCUUGAAGAAGAAACCACAAAGCAGAUCCUGGAGGAAAUGAAGGCAAGACUACAGAAGUCAACAGAGUCCUGUGCAAAGCAAGAGGAGGAACUGGCCAAGGCAGAGGCAAUGUCUCUUCCACUGAGGGUCUGCCCGGGAUAGAAUGGGAGAGAAUCCCAAGGGUCUUAGAAACAGAUCUGCUUGAGGCAUAGGAGGGGGAGAAAUACCAGGAAGUUCUGAGGAAGAUGAAAGAGGAAAAGGAGACGCUGCUUCUUGAAAAACAAAUCUUUUCACACAGUUUGGAAAUUUGAAUGUCCUCUUUUGUGACAUGUCUUUCGCCUGCAUCUGUGAGAUG
ensembl:lncRNA novel transcript